rnacentral:lncRNA from 1 species
CUUUGGGAGUCUUUUCUCUCUGCCCUUCCCCGCCCCGCUGCGCUUGGGCACUUGCUCUCUCUUUCUCUCAUUCUCUCUCUCUCUCUUUCUCUCUCUCUCUCAUGCUCAUAAAUAAAUAAAUAAAUAAAUAAAAAGAAAAAUAGAUUCUCAAAGUUUACAGGCUUCAUACUCAUUUGCAAAAAAAUACCGGGCGGGAUUUCUUGGUGGUAGCUUUCCACUGUCUAGCAGUUCAGAGACCCAGGCUCCUUGUGUAACUGUUGCUCCCCUCUUUUCUAGGGCCUGUCGUCUACCUCCAGUUAGUGCGAGAUGGAAGAAAACAUGGAGUGGGCCCGGGGAAAGCUGUGCCUGAUUCAUUCAUCCCGGGGACAGGCCUCUCUGACGUGCUCUCUCUGGCAGUCUGAUCCUGAAGAACAAGUGUGUCACCACCUCCUUGAAAGGACAUCAGACAGCAAAUGGGAGAAUCCACAAGGAGGGAAGGAGAGGCCACAUAGAGAGGUGAGUUCUGAAUUGGGCCCGAACAGGGAACAGAGAACUCUCCCUGGUCAGGUGCAGGCCUUAAAGCUGCCUGCAGCCACUC